rnacentral:rRNA from 1 species
GACGAACGUUGGCGGCGUGCUUAACACAUGCAAGUCGAACGGAAAGGCCCUGCUUUUGUGGGGUGCUCGAGUGGCGAACGGGUGAGUAACACGUGAGUAACCUGCCCUUGACUUUGGGAUAACUUCAGGAAACUGGGGCUAAUACCGGAUAGGAGCUCCUGCUGCAUGGUGGGGGUUGGAAAGUUUCGGCGGUUGGGGAUGGACUCGCGGCUUAUCAGCUUGUUGGUGGGGUAGUGGCUUACCAAGGCUUUGACGGGUAGCCGGCCUGAGAGGGUGACCGGCCACAUUGGGACUGAGAUACGGCCCAGACUCCUACGGGAGGCAGCAGUGGGGAAUAUUGCACAAUGGGCGGAAGCCUGAUGCAGCAACGCCGCGUGCGGGAUGACGGCCUUCGGGUUGUAAACCGCUUUCACCUGUGACGAAGCGUGAGUGACGGUAAUGGGUAAAGAAGCACCGGCUAACUACGUGCCAGCAGCCGCGGUGAUACGUAGGGUGCGAGCGUUGUCCGGAUUUAUUGGGCGUAAAGGGCUCGUAGGUGGUUGAUCGCGUCGGAAGUGUAAUCUUGGGGCUUAACCCUGAGCGUGCUUUCGAUACGGGUUGACUUGAGGAAGGUAGGGGAGAAUGGAAUUCCUGGUGGAGCGGUGGAAUGCGCAGAUAUCAGGAGGAACACCAGUGGCGAAGGCGGUUCUCUGGGCCUUUCCUGACGCUGAGGAGCGAAAGCGUGGGGAGCGAACAGGCUUAGAUACCCUGGUAGUCCACGCUGUAAACGGUGGGUACUAGGUGUGGGGUCCAUUCCACGGGUUCCGUGCCGUAGCUAACGCUUUAAGUACCCCGCCUGGGGAGUACGGCCGCAAGGCUAAAACUCAAAGGAAUUGACGGGGCCCCGCACAAGCGGCGGAGCAUGCGGAUUAAUUCGAUGCAACGCGUAGAACCUUACCUGGGUUUGACAUGGAUCGGGAGUGCUCAGAGAUGGGUGUGCCUCUUUUGGGGUCGGUUCACAGGUGGUGCAUGCCUGUCGUCAGCUCGUGUCGUGAGAUGUUGGGUUAAGUCCCGCAACGAGCGCAACCCUUGUUCACUGUUGCCAGCACGUUAUGGUGGGGACUCAGUGGAGACCGCCGGGGUCAACUCGGAGGAAGGUGGGGAUGACGUCAAGUCAUCAUGCCCCUUAUGUCCAGGGCUUCACGCAUGCUACAAUGGCUGGUACAGAGAGUGGCGAGCCUGUGAGGGUGAGCGAAUCUCGGAAAGCCGGUCUCAGUUCGGAUUGGGGUCUGCAACUCGACCUCAUGAAGUCGGAGUCGCUAGUAAUCGCAGAUCAGCAACGCUGCGGUGAAUACGUUCCCGGG